CACCUGCUAAUAACCACCAAUAACCACUCCAUAACUGCUCAUAAUUGCGUGAUUGAUACCAAUUAAUACUGAGUGGAACACACAAUCAAAAUAAGUUAAAGAAAUGUAAGAUAUAAAGUGCAAGAACUGAAACAAUGGUUCGUUAUUGUUUUGUAGAAUUGUGUAAAAACACAAGAUAUAAAGCAAAAGAAGCAAGUGAUUCGAAAUGUGUAUCAUUAUAUAUGUUUCCGAGCAAUCCUCAAUUUCGAGAGGAAUGGGUUCAAGCUUUACUACUCACUUUGAAUGGCCAGAACAGUGCUUUAAGCUUGCCAGAAAUGGCAUCGAUAUGUGCAGAGCAUUUUGAUAAAAAAUGCUUUUCAAAAAAUUACCAUUUGUGUCAUCAGAAAUUUAAAUAUCGAAAGUUUAUUUCAAAAUUUUAAUGCCCACAUUAAAGACAUUUGGACAGUAGGACAUUGUGAAUAAUACAAGUAGUGUUAAAGGUAACAGGAAAAGAAACGAAUUUUGUAAACCGAUUUUGAAUGCUAAGGAUUGUAGAUAUGAAUAUUUAAAGAAAUUUUUAACAUGGUUAGAUUCUUGAAAAAAUUUAGAAACAGAUGGUCAUUUAACAUUAGAUACUUUUAAAGCUUUACAUCAAAGUACUAGAGUUCUUUUACUACUCAUAGAGUACCGUUUUCAAAAUUUUAAUAUAUCUUAUCUUUUAGCAGGAAAAUUUUGAACUAAAAUAUUAGAGAAACGAUUUGGAAACUAUAGACUUUUAUUUGGUUGGAAUUUCCUUUCAUACAAUGAAGUAGUUCAUCCAGAGAAAAAUAUUAGAUUAAAACAUAUUUACGAAAUCGGCAAGAUUUUUUUCUUUUACUGAAAUCAAAAAUAGAUUUGAAAUUUGUGAUAACGAUAGUAAUCUUCAUGAUUUUUCCAUCGAUGUAACUUGUUUUCUGGGAAUCUUCGAAACUGAAUAUUUAUCCACUUGUGUUGUUGAUGAUUUCAUUAAAAUUUACAUAUCUGG